AGGGGCGUAGCUCAAUUGGUAAGAGCACUGCGCUGUGGCCGCAGGGGUUGCGGGUUCGAGUCCCGUCGUCCCUCCCA
rnacentral:tRNA from 1 species